UACGUAGGGUGCGAGCGUUGUCCGGAAUUAUUGGGCGUAAAGAGCUCGUAGGCGGUUUGUCGCGUCUGCCGUGAAAGUCCGGGGCUCAACUCCGGAUCUGCGGUGGGUACGGGCAGACUAGAGUGAUGUAGGGGGAGACUGGAAUUCCUGGUGUAGCGGUGAAAUGCGCAGAUAUCAGGAGGAACACCGAGUGGCGAAGGCAGGUCUCUGGGCAUUAACUGACGCUGAGGAGCGAAAGCAUGGGGAGCGAACAGG
rnacentral:rRNA from 1 species